GUCUACGACCAUACCACCCGGAAAACACCGGUCCUCGUCUGAUCACCGAAGUUAAGCCUGGUCGGGCGAAGUUAGUACUUGGAUGGGUGACCGCCUGGGAAUAC
rnacentral:rRNA from 1 species